rnacentral:misc_RNA from 1 species
AAAAUCCCUCACACCGACUUCCUGGCGCGUUCUAUUGUAGUUGCAGUUGUAGUUCUCCUUUCUUCAACAUUGAAAUUAAAAAGGAAAAUUGACCUUUCGAAAUAAAUGGCAUCAACCGAUCCUCAAGAAUUCGUUCAAGAACUCUCACCGCUCCCAAAGGUUCUAGUUCCCAAAAUACCACCGUCUUUCUGCAUCAUUGGGGAAGAGCCCUUUACCUCCACCAAAUUCCAGUACUUGAAAGCAUACGAGUCUCCGCUCCCUCUUGAUCAGUUCUUGGCCACUCAUGCGCACUCCGUAAAGGCCAUCCUUUCUACCGCAAGUGCUCCCGUCACUGCUGACCUCCUGCAGUUGCUGCCGGCGGUGCGCCUUGUCGUCACCACCAGCGCCGGCCUCAACCAGAUUGACCUCCCUGAAUGCCGGCGUCGUGGAAUAGCCGUCGCUAACGUAGCCACUGUCUAUUCUGCUGACGUCGCAGAUCUUGCUGUUGGUUUGUUGAUCGAUGUUUUGAGGAAGAUUUCGGCAAGCAAUCGCUACGUCAAGCAAGGGAAUUGGCCCACCAGAGGGGACUAUCCUCUUGGUUCUAAGUUGGGAGGAAAGCGGGUUGGAAUUGUUGGACUGGGAAAUAUUGGGUAUGAAGUUGCUAAAAGGCUUGAAGCCUUUGGUUGCUGUAUCUCUUAUAACUCCAGGAAGAAAAAGCCAUAUUUCUCGUACCCUUUCUAUGAAAAUGUCUGUGAACUUGCAGCCAAUUGCGAUGCCCUCAUCAUCUGUUGCGGGUUGACAGACCAAACCCGCCACCUGAUCAAUAAGGAAGUCUUAUCAGCACUGGGGAAGAAAGGAGUCAUUGUUAAUAUCGGACGUGGGCCUAUUAUUGAUGAAAAGGAAAUGGUAAGGUUUUUGAUGGAAGGAAAGAUUGCAGGCGCUGGCUUGGAUGUGUUUGAGAAUGAGCCUGAUGUUGCUAAGGAGUUUUUUGCAUUGGAUAACGUUGUGCUGUCGCCACAUUGUGCUGUCUUUACGCCAGAAUCAGUGAAGGAUUUAAGUGAACUUGUGGUGGGGAAUCUGGAAGCUUUCUUCUCAAACAAACCAUUACUUUCUGAAUAUGUGGAUGAAUGAUGGGUGAAACCUUUUAUUCACCGGUUAGUUUCUUUAUUAGUUUGUGAUUGGUGCCCUGUUAGUGAAGUAAGAAGUAACAAACUUUUGAGAAAGUUUCAUCUUGCUACCUCAUUAUUCUAGAGUUUUCGAUGAUUAGUUAUGGUGAUGAUGUUAUGUUUACUGGUCAUGUUUUAUAUAAUAGCAAGACAUAAUGCACAUAGUUUCUUCAAAAAUUGAUGCUUUUUUUUUAAUGACAAUCUCCUCCUAGAAAAAG